AUGUUUAGCUCACUGUUCCCUGGCAGGGGCAGCAUUACCCAUUUGUGCCCUUCCUCAUCUGCCCAAGUUCACACUUCAGGAGCGUGGCAAGUCGAUGAAGGGUGAUGCUAGACUGCAGAGCAUUGAUUCUGGAGGUCUGCUGUGUGGCACCUUGGCAGGGGUGGUCAGUGGGGAGAAGUGGAUGUGCAGGCCUGGUGUUUUCCAGGAGGGAGUCCCAUCUGAGGAGCCUCACCUUCUGGUCCCAGGCCUGGAGAAUCUGUGCUUUGGGUGUGCAGAGUGGGCUCAGUCACUGGGGUACCCACACAUACUAAAGCUAUUGGCACAGAGGGAGGGGGCAGGGCAGGUGCCCUUGGGCUCUGCCAGGUGAGCUGUGAGCACCUGAAUACCAGGGCUAGAUGAAAAGACCUUGGUAAUUGGUGGCCUCAGCUCUUAAGAGAGAGGUGGUCUGGAUGUCUGGGGUGGGGAACAUCAGAAGGUAGACAAGCUAGGCUGGGGGACAUGGAGGAGCAGGGGUGACUUUUCAUGCUAGAGCCACAACCUAGAUGUUUUGGGGGAAGUUAAUGCAGGGAUCUACUGUAGGAGCCAAGUCUGGUGGGCAAAGGGCAGCUGCACACACUCGACCUGGUGGGAACCUUGGCCCAGUCCUAGGGGAACUCUCAGUGCCGACGCUGAUGCAAGACCCAGGCUGUGCCUCCGUGUGUCCCUGAGCCACACCCCUGCUCCCAGGUCGGGUUGCACCGGAAGAGCUUGGUCCUCGCCUGGGGAGUCUGGUGGGUGGUGCCACGGCAGAGACCUGGAAUCCCAGGUCUUCGGAGUCUGGGGCGGGGUUGUGCGCAGUUGGCUGGCAGCUGGGAUCGACUCUGGCGGGGCGGAGCUGUCCCCUGCCCCUUCCCAGCCCUGCAAUCUCUGUAAGUAAUGGCGGGUCGUGUUCUCGCUGUGCCUGGCACCAGGUGAGCGUCCGUAGGGAAGCCUUCUUUGCGCACGUGACUGGCCGCUGUUAUCAUUGUCACCCAUGGUCAGGCGCCUACCUGCCUGUUGUCUGAGAACUUCGAUGCAGGCCUGGAGCAGAGAGUGAGCUGGACGCUGGAACCCCAGGUCUCACUAAGUCACUGAGUUGCCCAGCCAGGUUUG